UACGUAGGUGGCGAGCGUUGUCCGGAUUUACUGGGCGUAAAGGGAGCGUAGGCGGACUUUUAAGUGAGAUGUGAAAUACCCGGGCUCAACUUGGGUGCUGCAUUUCAAACUGGAAGUCUAGAGUGCAGGAGAGGAGAAUGGAAUUCCUAGUGUAGCGGCGAAAUGCGUAGAGAUUAGGAAGAACACCAGUGGCGAAGGCGAUUCUCUGGACUGUAACUGACGCUGAGGCUCGAAAGCGUGGGAGCAAACGGAUUAGAUACCCGCGUA
rnacentral:rRNA from 1 species